CGAGCGCAUGAGUUGUGCUGGACCUGUGACUAUCGGGAGGACCCCCGCUGUUGUGCGGCCGACUGCCGGUGCCAGUGUCCCUUCAAUCGUUGGCUAUUGUGUGCCUAUCGUUUCGACGAGUGCUUGCAUGCUGCUACCAGUAACACUGGAAGUUGCAUUGCUAAAUGUUGGUUUUGCCGUGUAUGCCCUAAGGGCAUGUCACGUCAACUAUAAAG
rnacentral:misc_RNA from 1 species